rnacentral:rRNA from 1 species
AACUGCGAAUGGCUCAUUAAAUCAGUUAUCGUUUAUUUGAUAGUACCCUACUACAUGGAUACCUGUGGUAAUUCUAGAGCUAAUACAUGCCUAAAACCCCGACUUCGGAAGGGGUGUAUUUAUUAGAUAAAAAACCAAUGCCCUUCGGGGCUCCUUGGUGAUUCAUAAUAACUUAACGAAUCGCAUGGCCUUGCGCCGGCGAUGGUUCAUUCAAAUUUCUGCCCUAUCAACUUUCGAUGGUAGGAUAGUGGCCUACCAUGGUGGCAACGGGUAACGGGGAAUUAGGGUUCGAUUCCGGAGAGGGAGCCUGAGAAACGGCUACCACAUCCAAGGAAGGCAGCAGGCGCGCAAAUUACCCAAUCCCGAUUCGGGGAGGUAGUGACAAUAAAUACUGAUACAGGGCUCUUUUGGGUCUUGUAAUUGGAAUGAGAACAAUUUAAAUCCCUUAACGAAAACAAUUGGAGGGCAAGUCUGGUGCCAGCAGCCGCGGUAAUUCCAGCUCCAAUAGCGUAUAUUAAAGUUGUUGCAGUUAAAAAGCUCGUAGUUGAACCUUGGGCCUGUCCUGCCGGUCCGCCUCACCGCGAGUACUGGUCCGGAUGGGCCUUUCUUUCUGGGGAAUCCCAUGGCCUUCACUGGCUGUGGCGGGGAACCAGGACUUUUACUGUGAAAAAAUUAGAGUGUUCAAAGCAGGCCUUUGCUCGGAUACAUUAGCAUGGAAUAAUAGAAUAGGACGUGCGGUUCUAUUUUGUUGGUUUCUAGGACCGCCGUAAUGAUUAAUAGGGAUAGUCGGGGGCGUCAGUAUUCAGCUGUCAGAGGUGAAAUUCUUGGAUUUGCUGAAGACUAACUACUGCGAAAGCAUUCGCCAAGGAUGUUUUCAUUAAUCAGGGAACGAAAGUUAGGGGAUCGAAGACGAUCAGAUACCGUCGUAGUCUUAACCAUAAACUAUGCCGACUAGGGAUCGGGCGGCGUUUCUAUGAUGACCCGCUCGGCACCUUACGAGAAAUCAAAGUUU